rnacentral:lncRNA from 1 species
GCCUAAUGCUCUGCAGCAGAUGUGUGAAAAGUUCCUUUUAUCACAUCCUUCCAAAAAGACCCCAAACAAGAAUUUUACUUUGAUUGUAGCAAUUUUACAAACUCUGAUACAUUAUAAUGUCAUGGAACUGCGUUGAUGAUUAAAUCAUUUCCUCUUACAAAUCACUAAUGUUCUGUGAAGCAGCCAGUGCUAAUUUCAACACUCAUACCAGCUGUAAUGGAAAUGGAAGGAUUUCUUUGGGGAACAAUUGCAUCUAAUUCAACUCCACUGAAGCCAGUGUGGAGCACGUGAUUGAUUUCCAUCAGGCAGAGAAGCUGUCCUUUGAAAGAGCAAGUCCAGAAAGUGUUGAGAACGAACGUACUGAAGCAUGCUGCAGGAACUGGCUUCAUCUUGCUGCCUGAUAAGAAAGCAGAUUGACCAUCUGAGAAGAAUUCAGUGUUUGCUCAAGUGCCCGGGGUUUCCCUGUGACACAGAGAUGCCUGAGACUCAGCAACAGCCCAGCAGUGUUGUCGGUGCUCAGCUCAAACUGGUGUAUCGGGAAGGACUCUCCAGUGCACAUGGCACGUCUGGAAGUGGGGACUGGGCCCUGUCCUUCAUCCUGCUUCAGGCACUGCAGUUUGGCAGCUGCGUAUAGGAGUAAGGUGAGGCUGGACAGCCUGGGAAAUGCCAAAGGGUAAUAUGAAGUAUAGAAACAACCAAAAGGUUAGAAGUCUUACCAAAAUCUUCAGCUCUCAAAAAGCUUGGAGGAAACUUAAUCCCUGUUGACAAUUUUUCCAGUGUGAUGAAGCAUUCUGCUAAUGCUUACUUAAAAUCUGUUACAAUAAAAAAGGCAUCAAGAAAUGUUAUCCA